AGAACACAACAUAUAAUUAACCGAUAAGCAUUAUAUAGAAGUUUGGCAAAAAGAGGAAAUCAAAAUCCUAAUUAUUAUUAGAUGCAAUGUUCUUACUAAUAAGACCCCCCGAUGGGUGGAAGAGUACGAUAAUAGGUAUCUAAGACGGUAUCGAAAGUCUUUAAAAUUAAACUAUAUAACUAAAACAAUAUGGCUAAAUUAAGAGCACACAAGAUCCACACGCCUUCCAUAUGAACACAUCCCUCGAUCCUCGAACUCGACUCCAACUUUACGACUCGUGCUCGGGAUUGAAA
rnacentral:lncRNA from 1 species